rnacentral:rRNA from 1 species
AACGAACGCUAGGCGCGAGUGCCUAACACAUGCAAGUCGAACGAGACCUUCGGGUCUAGUGGACGCACGGGUGCGUAACGCGUGGGAAUCUGCCCUUGGGUUCGGAAUAACUCGCCGAAAGGCGUGCUAAUACCGGAUGAUGUCGUAAGACCAAAGAUUUAUCGCCCAGGGAUGAGCCCGCGUAAGAUUAGGUAGUUGGUGAGGUAAAGGCUCACCAAGCCGACGAUCUUUAGCUGGUCUGAGAGGAUGAUCAGCCACACUGGGACUGAGACACGGCCCAG